UCACUACUUGCGUAGGCAGUCUUCUUAGAGUGCUCAGCAUUACCUGAUGGCAACUAAGAACGAGGGUUGCGCUCGUUGCGGGACUUAACCCAACACCUCACGGCACGAGCUGACGACAGCCAUGCAUCACCUGCACUAGCUCCCCGAAGGGUCCCUCGCCUUUCGGUUCGGUACCACUAGCAUGUCAAGCCUUGGUAAGGUUCUUCGCGUUGCGUCGAAUUAAACCACACGCUCCGCUGCUUGUGCGGGCCCCCGUCAAUCCCUUUGAGUUUUAGCCUUGCGGCCGUACUCCCCAGGCGGGGCACUUAUCGCGUUAGCUGCGGCACGGAAGGGGUCAAUGCCUCCCACACCUAGUGCCCACCGUUUACAGCGUGGACUAC
rnacentral:misc_RNA from 1 species